CAGCAGCCACGGUAAUACGUAGGUGGCGAGCGUUGUCCGGAUUUAUUGGGCGUAAAGGGAGUGUAGGCGGUCUUUUAAGUCUGAUGUGAAAGCCCACGGCUCAACCGUGGAGGGUCAUUGGAAACUGGGAGACUUGAGUGCAGAAGAGGAGAGCGGAAUUCCAUGUGUAGCGGUGAAAUGCGUAGAUAUAUGGAGGAACACCAGUGGCGAAGGCGGCUCUCUGGUCUGUAACUGACGCUGAGGCUCGAAAGCGUGGGGAGCAAACAGGAUUAGAUACCCGCGUAGUCCCUGUCUCUUAUAC
rnacentral:rRNA from 1 species